rnacentral:rRNA from 1 species
GUGGGGAAUAUUGCGCAAUUGGGGGGAACCCUGACGCAGCCAUGCCGCGUGAAUGAAGAAGGCCUUCGGGUUGUAAAGUUCUUUCGGUAUUGAGGAAGGUUGAUGUGUUAAUAGCACAUCAAAUUGACGUUAAAUACAGAAGAAGCACCGGCUAACUCCGUGCCAGCAGCCGCGGUAAUACGGAGGGUGCGAGCGUUAAUCGGAAUAACUGGGCGUAAAGGGCACGCAGGCGGUUAUUUAAGUGAGGUGUGAAAGCCCUGGGCUUAACCUAGGAAUUGCAUUUCAGACUGGGUAACUAGAGUACUUUAGGGAGGGGUAGAAUUCCACGUGUAGCGGUGAAAUGCGUAGAGAUGUGGAGGAAUACCGAAGGCGAAGGCAGCCCCUUGGGAAUGUACUGACGCUCAUGUGCGAAAGCGUGGGGAGCAAACAGGAUUAGAUACCCUGGUAGUCCACGCUGUAAACGCUGUCGAUUUGGGGGUUGGGGUUUAACUCUGGCGCCCGUAGCUAACGUGAUAAAUCGACCGCCUGGGGAGUACGGCCGCAAGGUU